GGUAGUCCACGCCGUAAACGAUGUCGACUUGGAGGUUGUGCCCUUGAGGCGUGGCUUCCGGAGCUAACGCGUUAAGUCGACCGCCUGGGGAGUACGGCCGCAAGGUUAAAACUCAAAUGAAUUGACGGGGGCCCGCACAAGCGGUGGAGCAUGUGGUUUAAUUCGAUGCAACGCGAAGAACCUUACCUACUCUUGACAUCCAGAGAACUUAGCAGAGAUGCUUUGGUGCCUUCGGGAACUCUGAGACAGGUGCUGCAUGGCUGUCGUCAGCUCGUGUUGUGAAAUGUUGGGUUAAGUCCCGCAACGAGCGCAACCCUUAUCCUUUGUUGCCAGCGGUUAGGCCGGGAACUCAAAGGAGACUGCCAGUGAUAAACUGGAGGAAGGUGGGGAUGACGUCAAGUCAUCAUGGCCCUUACGAGUAGGGCUACACACGUGCUACAAUGGCGCAUACAAAGAGAAGCGACCUCGCGAGAGCAAGCGGACCUCAUAAAGUGCGUCGUAGUCCGGAUUGGAGUCUGCAACUCGACUCCAUGAAGUCGGAAUCGCUAGUAAUCGUAGAUCAGAAUGCUACGGUGAAUACGUUCCCGGGCCUUGUACACACCGCCCGUCACACCAUGGGAGUGGGUUGCAAAAGAAGUAGGUAGCUUAACCUUCGGGAGGGCGCUUACCACUUUGUGAUUCAUGACUGGGGUGAAGUCGUAACAAGGUAACCGUAGGGGAACCCUGC
rnacentral:rRNA from 1 species